CGCCGAGUCACCGGGAGCUGCGAGGUUUGGUUAAAAAUGACAGCUCGAGUUUGUCCACGUCAACAGCACUGAGCUGUUCGGCCGCCACCAUGGAACCCGGAGCUCCGGAAGCAUCGCUUUAUACAGUCAAAGUGCUUUUCAUAUUGGACAGUGAUGACAAUCGGCCUCUUGCAAAGUACUAUGAUUCUGAGCUGUAUCCUUCCGUGAAAGAACAGAGGAAUUUUGAAAAGCAUGUCUUCAACAAAACACACAAAACUGACAGUUGAUGAUAGCCCCCUGUUGGAGCACAGCGUGGCUCAGGUGUUGCAGUCGGCAAAGGAACAGAUCAAGCGGUCGAUUCUGAAGUAGAGGAGAGAGAGAGAGAGAGAGAGAGAGAGAGAGAGAGAUAUUAUACACGACUGUUGGACAAAACCAAAAACAGUGUUUCAUUUUUCACUCUGCGGUAAUAAUUAAACCGUGUCAGAUUAUUAAAAGCGGUUUAGAAAGCACUAGAAUGAAAUGUUUUUUUUUUUCGUUGUAGAACUGCGUAAUUUAAAACGGUAGAGUCGUAAAAUAAAAACAAAAACAAAAAUAAACCUCUUUGAAUUACAGUUCUGCUGCCGAUUUGACCAUCCCGUUUACCGAUGUAAUGUUUUGUGUGUGAGGUUUUAUGUAUUACAUUAAAAAAAAAAAAAAGAAGCCCUGAAUUAGAUGCGCCGCCUCGGCUCCUGUGUUGUUCCUGCUGGAGUGAUUUUCUCACGCCGCACGCAGUGUCAGUGGUUGCUAGGCAACAGUUCCACGACACGCAGCCCACGUCACGUGGAAGUGCGUAAUCAAUGCUUAUGCAGUAACAGAGUGGAAGUGCUGAGCCAGCGGAACCACAGAAGGGUUUUUUUUUUUAAUUUAAGAGAAAUGUUUUGUCGUCGUCGUCCCCCUUUAUGGGAGCAAAAUGUACAAUUUAAUAACUACAUGUAAUGUUAAAUGGGAUUGGAUUAAACUUGCGUUUGUGUGUUAUGGCUGCUUUUGGUGGGAAUCCACGUACCUUCAAAAUACUUAUUUUUCGUUGGAGUUUUUUUUUUUUUCUUUGAGAAACAGUAACGGGCAGCUAGUAAAUGUAAAUGAAACUCAUUUAAAUAGUUAUUUGUCUCUGCUGUUGCACAGAUUGGCACUGUUUGAAUUCUGUGUGGUUUCUGAUUGUUGACUGAAAAGACGAUAGCAGCGGUAUAGCGGUAAUGUCCUUGUUCAAAGAGUUCCAUUUUUAAUAAAUACAUUCAGUGUAAUUGUACUCUGUGCUUUGCCCAGUGUGUUUCUGUAAGUACCUUGGUAUUACAGCCUGACAACUGCGUUAACCGCUGUUCAGUUUUGUUGGUGGCGGCCCCCGGGUUACGCUGAGGUUGUCCCGGCUCUAGAAGCUUGGAAAGCCGCGGAUAAAUCUACAGCUGUGCCAGUGAUUACAAUUGCAGCGUUUAAAGUGUGCACGUCGAAUUCGUUUGUACACGAAGCCAUAUCGAUCAUUGAUUUGUAUUUGUUUUGUCAUGAUGUGGACUUUUAUUAUUAUUAUUAUUAUUAUUAUUAUUAUUAUUAUUAUUUAUAAAACUUGUAACUGAACAAAAAAGGGAAUUUCUGAAACCUACCUAAUAAAUAUUUACAAAACUAUGA